UUCCCCUGGCGAUGGACAAAGAGAUGCCGUGUUGGUGGUGGUGUUCAUAUACCAAUCAGGGGCAGAGCAGAUGGCAGUCCUUUGUUUAUCUUAGCUUGAUGCCUGGCUUGGUGGCCAAAGCUAUUUUAUGCCUAGGACUCAUAA